rnacentral:sRNA from 1 species
ACUAGUACACCGGUUAAUGAAUGGAGAUUUAAUUAGAGUCUGAAUGGUAACUGCGUUUUGCGGUGUGGUUUAAAUAGUAACGAAAAUACAUAAAUAUAUAUAUAUAUAUAUAUGUAAAGAUUUUGAUAUUUGUGAUGCGGUUUUGAGUGCGGUGUAUGUCACCAUUCAUGACCUUAGUCUCUUCAAAAGAUUAAAGACAGAGAGAACAUUAAGGUUUUGUAGACAAGAAAAGAAAGGCAAAGACUAAUCAAAAAGGAAACUACAUGUGAUCACAGAUCUUAAUCUUUGAGUUAAUGGUGAGAUCACAUGUUGGCUUUCUUUUUUUAGGUUACUCUCAAUAUACGUAAUU